rnacentral:lncRNA from 1 species
CUUUUUUUCCUUUAGCUUGUCUCAUUUAAAAGAAGGGGUAAAAGCAUACGGUGUAGAGAAUGGACAUUUUGAGUUAUCAUCCUAGAUUUUGUGUUAUCCCUCUGUAGACAGUCCUCGAGUUUCUGCAAAGCAUAUUCUUGUCCUCUACUUCUCUAAUCAGCUUUAGUUACUGAUUAAGACUUUGACAGGAUUUCCUCUAUUACCAUUCCAAAAAGUAAGCAGGAGGACAGCUCUUUGUGGACAGACUAUAUGAGAGAUUUUUCAAGUACGCUUCAGACUAGACCUAUCUCCUCUGAUGAGUUAUUUUAGCUCGUACAGCACCACACCCUACUUUGUAGGGGAGGAUGCAAAACAGGUUGGCUUUCCCUCAGGGAAGGAGGUGGAUUAAGAGAGCACUGGCUCCCUUCUUCUCAUUGGGUGCUGGUGCUGGUUCCCCUUUCCUCCACGUUUAGCUGCCUGCUUGAUAAAUAGGUUUCUUAGAGGGCGGGAGCCACCUACAUUGCUACUCGUGGCUUGGCCAUAGAGCAGUUGUCUGCUUUUAUUAUUUGUCCUGUAACAAAUAGGAGUAGGUUUUUAGGGAUUUCUCUCUGUUCUGGUUCCUCAGUGCUUGAGUGUGAUGGUGAGUGAACUCUUCAGAUAGAGCGACUGAUUAAAAGGGUCCUCCUUGCACCUUGGCACUGUGGUUGCAACAUUUAUUGUUGUCAUUGCUUGGAGAAAACAACCAGCGCAGUCAGAGCACUGCAGAGAAGACCAUGGGAAGAUUAAGAACUAUUCUUCUUUUGUGCCUUGGUUUUCUUCUAGUCCGUGUAAGAGGUCAACAUGAUUUUGAUUUAGCUGAUGCUCUUGAUCAUCCAGAGGACAUAAUUACCAGGAAACCUACAGUGAUCAGAAGACCAACAAGAAGGCCAGUGCUGAGUAAGUAAUAAAGACAGUGGGUCAUAACUAAUUUCAGGUAUGUAGAAACUAUCUCCCAUGAGAUGCAUGAUCAUAUUUGCUAGGUACAGUAGCUGAGAUCAUUUGUGCAAAUACCAGCUGUCUUGUGAAGUAAGUAAUUUUUCGACAAUUACCAAUUACCUGUCUUUACUGCUUCCUAUUAAGCUUUAGAGAGUGACUGGCCAUAGAUGGCAUUUUAUUUCCUGAAGUUUCUCUUAAUUCUAUUCCAGCCUGUAUUAAAAUCCCUGGGAGGUACAAAAAUGCAUAACUGUAGCUUCUGCUUUUUCCCGGUUAUGUCUCUUUUCUCUUAGCAUAGGGAUGCGUGAUGUUUGAUAACAGACUUGAAAAGGAAUCAGAAGAAAUUUGAGCUUCAUUCUCCCAAUGCAUCUACUGACUAUUAUCUAGUAUUGAUUGCUACUAUGAUCUGCAUCAGAAAGGAACAAGGAUGUGAACAGUAGGGAGAACCAAAUGGUUUUAACUGUAGUUUUCAGGGUGACAAAUGAUGGUUUUCAAUGAACGUACUUGUUACUCUUAAAAAACCCAAACCCCUAAACCGAGAACAAAACCACACACAUACUUAUGACUGACCCUUUUGUGAUAUCAUACACAUUUUUCACCUACGCUACACUAAAAGAAAUUUCUGUCUAUCAGACAAAAUGCCAGAUAACAUUAGCCCACACAACUUUCAGUCUUUUUGUUCAUAGACAUUGCAGUAAGUCUUCUGGUACAUGAAAACAGUUACAUUUUGCACAUGAUUUUCUAGCUCACUCUGAACAUGCAGGACAGUGUUUUGUGAAUGUGUGUAAAUCUUCUAGUGGUUGCAUUCUUCCUUCCCACUUGAUUUUGCAAACAAAAUCUGUUUGGCCUAGAUUAGAAGCAUCUGUUGUAAUUGCUGAUAAGCUAUUGUUCUCCACCUAGCUAGAUGCUGGGCUUCCUUUAAAGUCAAGGGAGAGAAAUCAGUAUAUAUAGGGACGGUUCAUAUCAUCCUAAGUGUGGUUUCAUUCUCAUCCUAAUAUAGACGUUUAAAGUAGAUUAGUUGAAUCAUGCCCUAAAAGACUCUGUCCUAAGUCAUCUUUAAAGGUAACCUAUGGAAGCCAACUCAGAUGUCAAUGUCGGCAGUGAAGCUGUCUCAAGUCAGGUGAGAGGACUUCCAUUUUUAGGGACCUCUAAAUCUUUCUGAGAUAGAAAACUCAGAUGAUUAUCCACCUUUCCUGAAUCAACUUGGACAGUUCUUGGGAAUGAAGAACUCCGUGUUUUUCAGACCAUUGGAAUCCCUUUCAGCACUAAACAGGAUUGAAGGGAAUUAAAAAGCAAUUAAAUCUAAUAAAAAAGCAGUGUCAAAAAUCA